GUUGACCUCGGAUCAGGUAGGGAUACCCCGCUGAACUUAAGCAUAUCAAUA
rnacentral:rRNA from 1 species